AGUCAUGACCCAGCCCUAAAGGGUUAUGGGCUCCGGCAAGCAGUUAGUUACUCACUCUCUCCUUUCUGGUCUAAAUUGGGUUGGAAUAUAUAUCAAAGGAAGCCAGAAAGUGGUUGGGGAGAUUAAAAAAAACAACAACAACAACGUUUAGACUGAAUGUCUUGACGGUCCAUCCAUUCACUUCUGCUUUGAAAAUGGGUCUCACUCUGUUACCCAGUCUGGAGUACAAUGGCACCACUAUAGCCCACUGCAGCCUCAAACUUCUGGGAUCAAGCAAUCUUCCCACUUCAGCAUCCCAAGUAGGAAUGUCUCAUUAAAUGACAUCAAAGCCUGAUUCUGCAAUUAAAAAAGCGUUUAUAUUAACUGGAUUUUGAAAAGAGAAAAGAACAAUAAAACCACCCCCCAAUUCUUCAAACAACAAAAGAGGAAACACAGCAACCCCCUUCCCCAAAUUUUGGCAUUUGUUCACCUCUUUUAACCCUUGCUUUUUUGUAAAAUAACUUAUGGAGAAAUUGUUGUGAGCAAAAGGUCUUAAUUGCAAAAAAAAAAAAAAAUCCUUUUAGGAGUGUUUAAAAUAAAAUGACAGAGUAUAUUUAUGGAGCCUGGACAAUGCAUCCUUUUCUCAUAUUUUCCAGUUUUGUAAUGCCUAAGUACUCGUCUAGAAUCUGAAUUUAGUAAUGCCAAUAUUGGACUCUUUCACAUACAUUCUAUAGAGUUAUUAGUAAACUCAUGACAACCAACUAACCAACCAGGCAAACAAAAACAUAUUUAGAAACCCAAGCUGUAAGGCACAGCUCAUGCACACACACACAAAAUUUCAUCCCAAAAUAUGUAUGAACUUUGAGGGAACAAUCAGCA
rnacentral:lncRNA from 10 species